UGUAUUUGUUAACCUUUAUUUUAAUUUUAAUGUUCAUAGUGCUUUAAAACUACUGUUUUAUCUACGAAUCAUUUUCAUUAUCUUCUUUAGUAUUCAGUCUUUUUCGACUUUGGCCUUAAUUUUCUUGAAGCCCCUCGUUUCCUUUCUAUUUCCAGUCAUCCACCAACCAAACCGAAGCCUUUCGUCUGUUGCUUCUUCUUAUCAGCUUAAGUUGUAGAAUUAUUGUCUCAUUGCCAGUCCUUGGGACUCUUCACUUGUUCGGUCUUCUGCUACUUUCUGGACAAUGCUCACUCUCACGCAAGCUAGCUCCUCAGGACCUCAGUACACUCCACUCCUCCUCACUGUUUUUCAGUGUGUCAACGACGACGAGCGAUGUCCAAAGAAAGCUGAAUUUACUGCAUCCUUUUCCUUCAAGCAGCGAAGGCAGUCUGAGAUGUCCCGGUGCUGUUCUUGGUCUUGGAGGGGUUCUGCUGUGACAUCUUCGCCAG